rnacentral:rRNA from 1 species
AACGAACGCUGGCGGCGUGCCUAACACAUGCAAGUCGAACGGGAAAACCCGCAAGGGUGAGUACAGUGGCGCACGGGUGCGUAACACGUGGGUAAUCUGCCCAGAAGCCCGGAAUAACUCCCCGAAAGGGGUGCUAAUGCCGGAUGAGACCACGGGGACUUCGGUUCCUGGGGGAAAAGGUGGCCUCUGUAUACCAGCUAACACUUCUGGAUGAGCUCGCGGCCCAUCAGCUAGUUGGCGGGGUAAUGGCCCACCAAGGCUACGACGGGUAGCUGGUCUGAGAGGACGAUCAGCCACACUGGAACUGAGACACGGUCCAGACUCCUACGGGAGGCAGCAGUGGGGAAUCUUGCGCAAUGGGCGAAAGCCUGACGCAGCAACGCCGCGUGUGUGAUGAAGGUCUUCGGAUCGUAAAGCACUGUCGGGAGGGACGAAUAAGGGCCGGGUGAACAAUCCGGUUCGACGACGGUACCUCCAGAGGAAGCACCGGCUAACUCUGUGCCAGCCGCCGCCGUAACAC